UCGACGUCAGUAAGGCUUUUGAUGCAGUCUCAUGUGAUCUUCUCAUAAACAAACUAGAGAAAUACAGCCUAGACAAAACUACUAUAAGAGCCCAAGGAAUGCACAGAGACGUGCCAGCAGCCAGCUGCUUCCAGGAGCGACGUGGGUCCAGUGCAGGCAAGCAGCCUGUCUGAGCCCUGCUGCGCCGCCAGCUGGGAGCCGCCUAUGCUGAAACCACACAUGUUAAAUGCGAUGUGACAGACCUGUACACUGAAAUGUAAGUACAAUAUUUAUAUUCCAAUUGAUGUAUUUUAUAAUUAUAUGGUAAACAUGAGAAAGUAAGCAAUUUGUCAGUAAUAGUGUGU